AGCCACCCGGGGGUCACGGGCGUGGGCGCGGCGCGCGGGCUCCGACCGGGCUGGGCGGCUGGCGCCUCAGGGCGCAGCAGUGCGCGACCGGUGUCCAGGCGGCGUGAUCCGCGGGAAGCGUUCCAAGGCUCCGGGGUGCAAGUGGAGACGAAAGCCCCUUAGGCCCAGAGAGCUGGGGGCUCGCUUUCCUCCGCCGCCCGCGUCCCACGCCUUGGAGCCCCCGGAGCCGGUGCGGGGAAGCCCCGAGGCGGCCGGCGCUGGAGGCUGAGUUGCACCCCUCGCCCGGAUGGCGGCGCUCGGUUGUCUCCCCAGACUGGCACCCGACCAGAUUCCCCAGGGCACCCAGUAAAUGCUGCCCGCGCCUGUCGCAGCCCUUACGCCUUCACCUAGCAACUGAAGCCUCAGCGGGAAGAGCAGCUGGGUCCUUUCUGGAGGGAGAGGAGCCGCCGGCCUCCACUCUGCAGUUCAAGCUGCAGCUCCAAGGCCACCUUGUCCCCAGGGUGCAGGCCUGAGACCUCGGAUGCAUCUUUCCAAGGCCGCACAGCCUGAAGCAGCACCACAGGAGGAGAAACCAGCGCCCAAAGCUCUGGCCCAAACCCUGCACUCCAGGCCAGCUUCGAGCUGACAGGUUCACAACCCAGGGUUGCAGGCUUCAGGGACCUUUAGUCCAAGCUGCAGAAAUGGCCUCGGGCCAGGAGACGGUCCCCUCCUGACGCACAGGCACUGGUGACAUGAGAGGCAGUGAGGUCACCCGCUUCUGGGGAGCCACAAGGGCUCUGCACAUGGAGCAGCAGGCUGGACCCUGGCGCCGUAGGGCCCACUCCUGGCUGAGUAGCCCACCCUCAAGAGGCGCAUGCUCAGUGCUCCCCCGGCCCGUGCCCGAACCCCCCUGCAGACCGGAUCCCGGACUGUGGGUGACCCUUGGCCUUCUCCCUGCCCCCUUCCCAUGGCCAGGUCAGGGCUCCUCUGCUCCCUGCGAGGUACGUGGUCCUAAUAGGUGGAGUCCCUCAUAGCACUGAGGUACCUGGGCCUGGCCAGGUGGAGAAACUGAGGCACGGUCCCAUCGUCACAGGUGUUCAUGUCUUCUAGAUAUGUCCAGGCUCUGCCCUUUCUCUCCACCGCCCUCUCCCAUACUAGUCUCCCACCUUCUUUUAGACCCAGAUCAUUUCUCACUCAGACCCACUCUGCUUUCCCUGCUCACCCCAGUUGCCCUUCCAACAGCCAGAGAGGCUUUUACUGUUUUGCUGGUAGCUAGGAUUGAACCCAGGGCCUCAUGAAGGCCAGGCCAGAGAGUUCUUAAAAAACAUAAAUCAUAGCCAAGCAUGGUGGCACAUGCCUAUAAUCACAGCACUCGGGAGGCUGAGGCUGGAGCUUCUCCACAAGUUCAAGGUCAGCCUGAACUAAGACCCUGUCUCAAACAGACCAAACCAACACAAAAAACACAAAUCCAAACAGGUCAUACCUACCCUUCCUCGACGGUUCAGUUUUUCCAAUUUCAAUUUCUAGUUGUUCUAGCAAUAUGGAAGCCUUUCCCUUGCUUAAUUUGGUGGGCACCUUUCUUGCAAAUGAAUUGCCCACAUAAAUGCAGACCUGGCUUGGCUUUCUGUCCCAUUCCCUUAUUUAUCCAGCUUUUUGCUUGCACCAUGUGUCUUUAGCUGUAGAGCAAGUCUUCCAGUCUAACGUUGGUCCUUUAUAAAUCUGUUAUGUCUCUUCUUGUCCAUAAGAGGAGAAGCAGUAUCAGUUUAUGUUAAAGGCCUUCCAGGGUUUUGAUUGGGAAUUACAGUAGAGCUAUGUAUCAGCUUGGGAGAAGUGAGCAUAUUAACAAUAUUGAGUUUUUCAACCCAUGAA